UACAGGGGGGGCAAGCGUUGUUCGGAAUUAUUGGGCGUAAAGAGCUUGUAGGCGGUUUGUCGCGUCUGCUGUGAAAUUUCGGGGCUCAACCCCGAACUUGCAGUGGGUACGGGCAGACUAGAGUGUGGUAGGGGAGACUGGAAUUCCUGGUGUAGCGGUGAAAUGCGCAGAUAUCAGGAGGAACACCGAUGGCGAAGGCAGGUCUCUGGGCCACUACUGACGCUGAGACGCGAAAGCGUGGGGAGCGAACAGG
rnacentral:rRNA from 1 species